ensembl:lncRNA
UUUUCUUUUGAUUUUCCCAUGAUGUCAAGCAAAGAGGCACAGAGUUUGAAGGUUGGCCUUAAAAUACAUCCACAGGUACACCUCCAAUUGACUCAAAUUGUGUCAAUUAGACUAUCAAAAGCUUCCAAAGCCAUGACAUCAUUUUCUGGAAUUUUCCUAGCUGUAUAAAGGCACAGUCAACUUAGUGUAUGUAAACUUCUGACCCACUGGAAUAGUAAUACAGUGAAUAUAAGUGAAAUAAUCUGCCUCUGAUUGGGAACCACACUCUGCAAAAAACAAAGAAAUAGAAAACAUAGAAAUCAAGAAACUAUAAUGGCCAACCUAGUCACACCCUGGCCUAACCAAAAUAGAGAAUAAAAGCCUCUAUGGCCAGGGCGUGACAGUACCCCCACCCAAAGGUGCGGACUCCGGCAGCAAAACCUGACUCUAAAGGGUAGGGUCCGGGUGGGCAUCUCUUCAUGGCGGCGGCUCUGGUGCGGGACGUAGACCCCCCUCCGCCCGCAGAUCCCUUAGCUUUGGUGGCAGCCCUGGUGCAUGGACCUUCACUGGAGGAACCGGGCCGCAGAUCAUCGCCGGCGGAACCAGACCACCGAUCAUUGCCCGGAGGCUCCGGACCGUCGCUGGAGGCUCCGGAUUGGAGACCGUCGCUGGAGGCUUCGUGCCAUGGAUCAUCACUGGAGGCUCCGUGCCAUGGAUCAUCACUGGAGGCUUCAUGCCAUGGAUCAUUACUGGAGGCUUCGUGCCAUGGAUCAUGAGUGGAGGCUUCGGGCCAUGGAUCAUCACUGGAGGCUUUGAACGUGGAGCUGGAACAGGUCUCACCGGACUGAGGAGACGUACUGGCAGCCUAGUGAGUGGAGCUGCCACAACACGACCUGGCUGGAUACCCACUCUAGCUCGGUGAGUGUGGAGAGCUGGCACAGGACACACUGGGCUAUGACGGCGCACUGGAGGCAUAGUGCGUAGAGCCAGCGCAGGACACACUGGACCGGGGAGGUGCACCGGAGGUCUGGAGCGCAGAGCUGGCAUAACUCGUCCUAGCUGGAUACCCCCCUUAGCCCGGCAACUGCGGGGAGCGGGAACAGGCCGCACUGGGUUGUCCUGGCGAACUGGGGAUACCGUGCGUAGAGCUGGCGCAGGAUAACCUGGGCUAAAGAGACUCACCGGAGGCCAGGAGCGCUGAGCUGGCACAAUCCCUCCUGGCUGAAUGCCACUCUAGCACGGCAACUGCGGGGAGCUUGCAGAGAGCGCACUGGGCUGUGGCUGCGCACCGAAGGCAUGGUGCGCAGAACUGGAUAACACUGUGCUUGACCAGUCAUUCUCUCCCCACGGUAAGCAUGGGGAGUUGGCUCAGGUCUACAAACUGACUCCACCAAUCUCCCCGUGUGCCCCCCCCAAAAAUGUUUUGGGGCUGCCUCUCAUGCUUACUUCGUUGCCGUGACUCCCUCCCUGCUUCCACCUGUUCCCAUGGGAGAGGAUCCCUUACGGCCAGGAUCUCCUCCCACGUCCAGUAUCCUUUGCCAUCCAGGAUGUCCUCCCAUGUCCCGUCCUCCUGACCAUGCUGCUUGCUCCGUUUGUGGUGGGAUCUUCUGUAAUGUUUGUCGUCGGAAGGAGACCAAGGUGCAGCGUGGUAAGUGUUCAUGAUUCUUUCAUUUCUCAGAACACCAAACAAAAACAACAAAAAGAAUAACGAACGUCACGUACUGCAGGCUUCACAGAGCUAACAAAAAACAAGAUCCCAACAAACACCAAAAGGAGAAUGACAGCUUAUACAGUGGGGCAAAAAAGUAUUUAGUCAGCCACCAAUUGUGCAAGUUCUCCCACUUAAAAAGAUGAGAGAGGCCUGUAAUUUUCAUCAUAAGUACACUUCAACUAUGACAGACAAAAUGCGAAGA